GAUGAACGCUAGCGGGAGGCUUAAUACAUGCAAGUCGAGGGGCAGCAUGAGGCUUCGGCCUUGAUGGCGACCGGCGCACGGGUGAGUAACGCGUACGCAACCUACCUCCAAGAAGGGGAUAGCCCUGGGAAACUGGGAUUAAUACCCUAUGGUAUUAUUAAAUCGCAUGGUUUAAUAAUUAAAGAUCCGUUGCUUGGAGAUGGGCGUGCGUCUUAUUAGCUAGUUGGUGAGGUAAAGGCUCACCAAGGCUACGAUAAGUAGGGGGCGUGAGAGCGUGGCCCCCCACACGGGUACUGAGACACGGACCCGACUCCUACGGGAGGCAGCAGUAAGGAAUAUUGGACAAUGGGCGCAAGCCUGAUCCAGCCAUCCCGCGUGCAGGAUGACGGCCCUACGGGUUGUAAACUGCUUUUGGAUAGGAAGAAACCCAUUCAUUUAUGAAUGGCUGACGGUACUAUCAGAAUAAGCACCGGCUAACUCCG
rnacentral:rRNA from 1 species